ensembl:rRNA 5S_rRNA 5S ribosomal RNA
GCUUACGGCCAUACCAGCCCAAGAACGCCCGGUCUCGUCUGAUCUCGGAAGCUAAGAAGGCUUGGGCCUUGUUAGUACUUUGAUGGGAGACCUCCAGCGAAUACUAGGUGCUGUAAGCU